UGUUUCUGGCUGGAGAAGUCUCUGAUAGAGAAAGGAGAAUGAAUUUCAGAAGCAAGGUCGUGGGGAGAUAAGUGAAAUGUUUCAAUGUUUCAGUGUCCUCUCAAGCAACAAAAGAACUAGAAAUGAGAUCUUGGGGAAUAAAGGGCAGGAACGUCACCAGGAGGACCUUCUGCUGGGUGGCUACCAUCUCUCAGUUACUCAGACGAAAGAAGAAGUUACCUUCGAAUGAUGGCAAUUCCUACCUUUGACAGGUCAGGAAAGUGAGUUAUGGCAAGCUUUGCGACCUGCCCAAGCCAAACUGUGGAAGGAGCCUCGGUGUCCAUCGGAAGAUGAAUGGAUAAAGAAGA